rnacentral:ncRNA from 1 species
AAGCGGGAGCGUGUCGGUGGGACGAUACGCAGGUAUUGGCUUGGUUUUCCUGUCUCAAAAGGGCCGCGCACCGAUGCCCGACGGUGUAGCGA